rnacentral:sRNA from 1 species
GCUGGGCGUGGUGGCUCACGCCUGUAAUCCCAGCACUUUGGGAGGCCGAGGCGGAUGGAUCACCUGAGGCCAGGAGUUCGAGACCAGCUUGGCCAACAUGGUGAAACCUCGUCUCUACUAAAAAUACAAAAAUUAGCCGGGCAUGAUGGCGGGCGCCUGUAAUCCCAGCUACUCGGAAGGCUGAGGUAGGAGAAUCAUUUGAACCCAGAAGGUGGAGGUUGCAGUGAGCCGAGAUUGUGCCACUGCACUCCAGCCUGGGCGACAGAGUGAGACUCUGUCUCA